GAUGAACGCUAGCGGCAGGCUUAACACAUGCAAGUCGAGGGGUAUUGGUUUUCGGACCAAGAGACCGGCGCACGGGUGCGUAACGCGUAUGCAAUCUACCUUUUGCAGAGGGAUAGCCCAGAGAAAUUUGGAUUAAUACCUCAUAGUAUAGUACUUUGGCAUCAAGGAACUAUUAAAGUCACAACGGCAAAAGAUGAGCAUGCGUCCCAUUAGCUAGUUGGUAAGGUAACGGCUUACCAAGGCUACGAUGGGUAGGGGUCCUGAGAGGGAGAUCCCCCACACUGGUACUGAGACACGGACCAGACUCCUACGGGAGGCAGCAGUGAGGAAUAUUGGACAAUGGGCGCAAGCCUGAUCCAGCCAUGCCGCGUGCAGGACGACGGUCCUAUGGAUUGUAAACUGCUUUUANACAGGAAGAAACACUCCGACGUGUCGGAGCUUGACGGUACUGUAAGAAUAAGGAUCGGCUAACUCCGUG
rnacentral:rRNA from 1 species